GGAGGGGGGGGGCAUAUAUAAAACCAGACGCAACUUUUGGAUUUUCAACAAAAACCAACUAACGUCGUCGGUUUCUUUAUUUCGAGUUUCCCAAGUUUCUGUCUCUUCCUCGGUCCUAUAUUAUUCUUUUCUUGUUCCAAAGUUUCCCGGCGACCAAGACAAGGUGGCGCGUGCAUUACACGGCCCGUUCAUCCCAAAGGUUAUUUCAUCCUCAAAGAUCCUGACUUUGAUUUGAAAGGUUAGCUUGAUCAGGUGGAAUGUUAUACAAGAACAUGGCAAAUUGGAACCUUGAUCAGGAUGUUGUUCGUUGGGGUUUGCAUCAUCUCUUGGAUUGUACUCUUUCGAAUGAUUUUUCUCGAAGUACUGUUACUGAAUAUCAAUGGGACUCUAGUCAAGUAGAGUGUGUAAACGAAGGUUAUGUUGAGCCUUGUAGUGUGGAGAACGAUGAGGUUUUAGCUCGUGCGUUGCAAGAAGAGCUAUCUAGACUUGCAAAGGAAGAGGCCGCGGGAGUUUCUAGUUAUGGAGAUGCGCCUUUGCAAGCGUCGAUUCUUGCACAGGAUUGGCUCGGUCCUUCAAGCAGACACAAUGGUUCUGGGCUUGAAAAUGUUCAGGAUGCAGUGAAUGAUUUUGGCAGGAUGAUGGACAACGAUGAUUGUAGAAAUCAGGAAAAUGAGGGGGAUGGUCCUAGGAGAAAUGGAAAUGGGGAAGCAUAUGAAAACAGUGAUGGAGAGCACUCGGUGGAUGGGGAAGACUUGUUGCAUCCGUGGGAUAUAACAGAUGAGUAUGCUCUUGAUGGUGAAGUAGGGAGAAGAUUGAAUCAGAUGGUUCCUGUUCCUCAUAUUCCUAAAACGAAUGAGAAAAUACCCACAGUUGAUGAAGAGAUAUCAGAUCAUCAGAGGCUUAUUGAAAGACUGAAGUUGUAUGAGUUGGUGGAGUGUAAGAUCCAGGGAGAUGGGAACUGUCAGUUUCGCGCUUUAUCAGAUCAACUAUAUCGUUCUUCUGAAUACCAUGGCCUUGUAAGAGAUCAAAUUAUUCAACAGCUCAAGAAUCACCCCGAAAUAUAUGAUGGUUACGUUCCGAUGGGUUAUGUUGAUUACAUAAAGAAAAUGAGCAAGAGUGGUGAAUGGGGCGACCAUGUCACGUUGCAGGCUGCUGCAGAUUCGUAUGGUGUCAAGAUAUUUGUUAUCACUUCUUUCAAGGAUACAUGCUAUAUUGAGAUCCUUCCACAUGUUUUAAAAUCUAGUAGAGUUAUCUGCUUGAGCUUUUGGGCUGAGGUGCACUACAAUUCUAUCUAUCCUGAAGGAGAACUUCCUCCGCCCAGCUUAAAGAAAAAGAAGCAUUGGUGGAACUUCUAAGCACAAAAAGAAGAAAUGGUGGAACUUUGGAAGUGAGUAUCCCGCGAUUGACACAAACUAUUCUGUUGAGGAGGUUUCAAUUUGUGUUGGCAUUUUCAUACCUUCGGCUCCCAGGAUCAGAGGCUGAAAACUGUUGCAUGUUCAAACUUCAGAAUUGGCUUUGGCAUGGUUCCCUUGCUUCCUCACUGCUUUAGUUCCACGAUUAUUACAGUGCAUUCAUGUUCUUCCCCAAGGCACUUAGUCUAGGGUGUGAACCUGGGAACAACCCGUGCUGUUUCGCCACACACAAAAAUCUUCCCGGAAAGCCUGGAAUACAAGCUUGUACUAACUGUGCGAGACGAAUCAACUGGGAUGGUAGUCAUAUGAUGCAGCAUGCAUACAAGUUAAUAUCAGAUUCGAUAGUUCCUGACAUUGCAGCCAAGCUUAAAUGCAGUCAUUGCAGUGCAUAAGUUACUAAGUUAUACUUUAAUUUGUAUUUGAAAUGAAAAAGGGUGUAAAUUUAUGGAACUAAGCAGAGAGAUCAAUUCUGUUAAGAGAUGUCAUUUCAUUUUUCCUUAAUAAGAAGGGGAGUUUCAGUACAUAAACAAAAUUGCAUGAAUGUAUUGCAUCUUGUGUCACUCGUUUUGUGAACUUG